AUUGGUUCUUGAUUUUGAUUCUUUAUGGAUUUAAAUGUAUAAAUCAAUCAUAUUAAAGAAUUUUACAACAGUUGUAAAGCUGCUUUUUCUACUGAACGCA